AAAAAAGAAGAAAUAAUCUUGCUAAGCAUUCUCUUGAUUUCAGAAUUUCUUAGCAAUAGCAGUUGCUGGUGUUUGAGGUCUUCUCUGGGCCAAGGGCAGCACUGGGGUUCCACUGGGCCCCAGAGAAGGGUGAGAGAAGGAUGCUCAGAGCAGGUGUCACGAGAGGAGAGAAUUGGGCUUCCCUGGGAGCAGAGCUCUCGCCGAUCUCCAGCUAGACGUCUGCUGGGCACUGUUUGCAACCUGCCUCUCUGGAAUUACAGAUCCCAGCAGAUGAGGCACAAAGAUAGUUUGCUGAGAACUGAAGACUGAGGACUGGCUGAGUGAAGAUGAAAGCUUUCUUCUUGGAAGAAUGGCACCAGCCACCCUUUAUAUCUCUAGAAAGAGCGAAGAGGAAGAUGCAGCGGGAAGCUUGAUGAUUGCAUCAUAGGAAGUGAUUCCAAGACCUUCCAACCCCUCCCCCAAACCACAGAACCAACACACACCAAUAAACAUCUUUGCUAAGGUCAUCUCUCUGCGUGUUUGGGGUGGAUUGAAAAUCAGGAGAAGAGAUACCUGUAAGUCACUGGAUCCAGGGUCUAGUCCUGCUUUUUCUGUAGACUCUAUGAAUGGCCUUGGGUGAACUUUCUCUUCUUAGUUCAUAAAAUUCAGGAAGAUGAGAUGAGUGAUAUUUCAGGUUCUCUGCAUCUCAGGCAUUUAAAAAUGAAGAAAAUAUAGAAGAAAAAUGAGACACACUGUGGUUCUAAGGGCUUCAUAAUUUUCCUUGAAACCCAUAGAUGGUAUAGGACAAUUACAAAACAUUGCAAUUAAUCUCCAGAAGGACAGGACUGAUCUUGGGACUGGGGGCUUCCUAGACCAAAGACAAGAGCGGGGAGUAGAGUCUGGAUCCAGGGGUCCCUCAUGUCUGGCCUCAUCCCUGAGAACCAUGAGCACUUUGGCAGGCUAUUGAAAUGCUCUAGGCCUCAAUGUUCUCAUAUGUAAAAUGAGAACUACAUAUGUAGUCCUCAUAUGUAAAAUGAGGAGAUAUAACCUACUAUAUAGGGUAGUUAUAAGACUGUGCCGGACCCCAUGGCUCCCGCCUGUAAUCCCAGCACUCUGGGUGGCCAGGGCAGGCAGAUCAUGAGGUCAAGAGAUUGAGACCACCCUGGCCAACAUGUUAAAACACCAUCUCUACUAAAAAUACAAAAGUUAUCUGGGCAUUGUGGUGCACGCCUGUAGUACCAGCUGCUAGUGAGGCUGAGGCAGGAGAAUCGCUUGAACCCAGGACAUGGAGGUUGCAGUGAACUGAGAUUGCACCACUGUACUCCAGCCUAGGCAACAGAGCGAGACUCCGUCUCAAAAAACAAACAAACAAAAGCAAGAGUGAUGUAUGGACCCGCUACAUGGUAAGUCCCCACUCCUCCAUUAUGGUUAUUAAUGGACAGCAGAGAACCUGUUUAUCAUAGUCAUCAGGGGGCAGAAUUUGAGAUGGAGCUUGAAAGAUGAAUACUGAUGAAGCAGGUACAGAGAGGUGAGGAACGAGUCAUAUCCAAGCCUAGGAAAUGAAGAUAAUGGUGGUUUAAAUGCACAUCACACAUGAUCUGAUUCUCAAAUCAGCUGUAUGAAGCCAAUGCUGUGAUUGGCCCUUUUUACAUGUGAGAUGCCAAGGCUCAGAGAAGUUAAGUAACUUGCCCAACAUCACACAGCAAGUAUGUGGCUGAGCUGAGAUGGGAAUCCAUGCAGUCCUGCUCCAGAGCUCAUGUUCUUAAUCCCUAUAUUCUUCAAUGUUAAUAAGAGUCUGGGAAGAGCUUUGACCAUCAGGCUAAUAUCUUUGCACAGUUAGCUGGCAUGAUUUGGUGGCCUUGGAGAACGCAGAGGCUGGGCGCUGUGGCUCGCAUCUGUGAUCCCAGUACUUUGGGAGGCCGAAGCGAGUGGAUCACUUGAGGUCAGGAGUUCGAGACCAGCCUGGCCAAAAUGGUGAAAUCCCAUCUCUUCUGAAAAUACAAAAUUAGCCAGGCCUGGCGGUACACACCUGUAAUCCCAGCUACUUGGGAGGCUGAGGCAGGAGAAUUGCUUGAACCUGUGAGGCGGA
ensembl:lncRNA